GUUGGUGAACCAGCGGAAGGAUCAUUACAGAGUUCAUGCCCUUCGGGGUAGACCUCCCACCCUGUUUAUAUACUAUUGUUGCUUUGGCAGGCUGCCCUCACCAUGGGGCGUCCGGGUUCCGCCCGCGUCUCGCCUGCCAAAAGCCCCCUAAUUCUGUGUUCUGUGUCGUCUGAGUACUAUAUAAUAAGUUAAAACUUUCAACAACGGAUCUCUUGGUUCUG
rnacentral:misc_RNA from 1 species